rnacentral:lncRNA from 1 species
UAGUCUGGGUUUUGGAGGCUCUCAGCUUGCUACGAAUGUCGACAAAGACUGUGGGGCCAGCAGAGUACGAGGACUUGGUCAGCAAAUGUGCUUCAGAGAAAUCAGAACUCACCUCAGAGCACACAGCAGCCUCCAGUCAGCAUCCCAGGCAUUUACUUGUUACUUCCUGGGUCACAAAUUCGCUCAGCCACCAAGAUUUCCAGUGGAAAGCUAGCAGCCAUUGCCAACACAGAACACAGCAAACCAAGCGGGCAGGCAGCAAACCAGUCUGGAGAAAAAUGGUUUUAGAGGCAGUCUGACACACUUAGUAUUUGUCACCAUCACCAGAGGCCACUGGGGCUGCUGCCACCCACACGCGUCUCUCUCCACAAGAACCAUCCGUCUCUUAAGAGGACAGAAGCCCCAGGACGGUGCAGGAAGACACUGUUCCCUAUUUGUGAAUACUUUAUUAGAAAGCUUUACAACAAUACAGAAAUUAAAUCAUGUUUAGCAAGAAGUUGUCAGAUUGCUUUUAUUCAGAAUAACGUGACGUGAUGCAGACAGCACGGGCCAUGAGGCUGUCCUACUCCUAGCACCUCGGCUGUGCCCAAAGACACUGCCAAGCUGACAUCGUGUGCGGCAGUCAACUGGCCCAAAACGGGGCGUGACAGGCUCUUCCCAUCGGACAGCCGCUUCUAAGAUGCAGGUGGGCAUCCUGGGUGCCAUGGAGACCAGCCACCAGUGAGUGGGGUGAAGCCCGAGAGAGAGGCCAGGAAACCCAACCUCACAGCCAUGGCGACUGGGUGUAAAAAGCCACGCUGGGGAAAAAGCCAUGCGGUCUGGGGCAUCAUCACGACUAAUAUCGGCUAACUAGCUGGAGACUAUUGUUAGCCAUUACCCCACCACAGCCCGGGCUGACCUUGGGCGGGAGAGCAACAUUCAGACAUUUGUUGCGUCUGGAGCAACAGGCCAGGGUGUAAGGGGAGCCAGCGACCUUCCCAGGACGGCCAGGCUCGCCAGGGCUCCCGCAUGGGCUGCUCUGUCCCGCCAACCCGGCUGGUGCCCAUCAGGAGCCUGUCUAGCACCUCUGUUUUCUCCUCACUUGGUUCUGAUGAUUUCUCCCACCCUACCCCCACAUUUGCACACUCAGAUACAAACACAAGCCUGCCGACGCGGACCGACAUGGAACCAAACCGCAUCCAUAGGGUAAACGCACCAGACGGCAGCUAUCAGGCCACAGCCAGCCAAGCGCUCACCUGUCCGGUCGUCCACGGUCCCGGCCCGCCUUGAGGCUCGGGCUGCAGCCCUGGCUCCUGGACCCCAGAGACUGGCCUCGACCGUGCAGAGCUUCGGCGUGGGCACCAAGCGAUCCAACCCUGCGGCCGGGGUGCCGAGACGCACAGUUAGCACCUGCGACACAGCGCGACCCCGGCGCCGCGUCCCGCCUCAGGGCGCUCGCGGUUGGGAGGCCAGGACCCCUGCGUCAGCCGCGGUCAGCCCGGGACUGCGGACGUCGGGGCCCCGCGCGGUCCCGGCCGAGGCUGCGGACGCACAGGCACCAGCGGCGGCCCCAGACGGAGGGACCGAGGCGCCAGCCCUGCCCCGCUCCCCCGGCGCGCGGGUCCGCUGCCACCGCCCCCGGCUCCGAAAGGCCGCCGGGCCCGGCCCCCACUUGCCCAGAGUUUUCCGGCGCGCUCGACCCAGGGCCGCGGGGUAACCAGGCAGCGCUGAGCCUGCACCUCGUCGUCAGCCGACUGUCCCGCUGCUCAGGACCCAGGCCAGGCCGCCCCGCCGCGCCCGAGCCCACCCGGCCGCCCGUCGCGACCCCGGCUCUGGUCCAGGCCGCUGCACUGCCUACAGGGAGCCGUAGUUCGCGGACCUGGGCCAGUGGGCGGGGCGGGAGCUCCCAGGAGCGCCUGCGCAUAACGCAGGCAGCACCGCGCAAGGGGGCGGGGCGGGAGCUCCCAGGAGACCCCGCGCGUGUGACAUUCCCGGCGCAGACUCGAGUGUACGGUUGCGAUCGAACGGGUGGGCCUGGGCCGGCCGGGCCUGGGGCCUUCUGUGUCUGCGCGAUCGCCUCCUGGCAAAGAAGGCCACAUAGUGAGGAGAGGACGGUCCUCAGAAAGAGAGAGACUCGCGCCUGACGGUCAACUGGGCGAGCGGACACCGGGCACAGAAAGGGGCCGUGGGGAAGUCCCAGUAGAUGAAUGUGCGUAAGGGGGCGGGUCUGGCGCGCCCCUCCCCCCCAGUGGAAUCUUUCUGCGCUUGCGCAGGGAUUUCCGAGGCUGCAUUCCGUCGCCGUGGAGACGGAGGCUCCCUGAGUGACGUCUUGCUCGGAAUAGGCGGGGCUUCCAGAAAUGAAGCGGAAAAAGCAUCCUCUGUUGUGUUUCCAAUUUUAUUUGAGACAGGCUCCCACUAAAUUCCCCAGGCCCCCCAACUUGUGAUUCUCCUGCCUUAGUCUUCCAUUUAGCUAGGAUGAUAGGCGUGCGUGAUCACGCCUGACUUUUCUCUCUACAGGGGGUUAAACCAGGGCCUUAUCACUGAGCUACAUCCCCUUUUUAAAUUUUUAUUCUUUGAGAUGGGGUCUUGCUAAAUAGCUGAAUUGACCAAGCAGGGCUCAAAUUUGUGAUCCACUACCUGUGGACCACCACGUCAGGUUGAACCAAUUUUAUUUAUUUUUCAGUAUUGGAGAUUAAACCCAGGACUGAGCUAUAUCUUUGGCCCUUUUAAAAUUUUGAACAGGGUCUCACUAAGUUGCCCAGGCUGGGCUCGAACUUGGAAUCCUUCUUCGCCAUCCUCCCAGAGUGCUAGGAUUACAAGCAUGUGCCACCAUGCCCGAUUUAUCCAACAUUUUUUGAUGGCAUUGUUUUAAAAUCUAAGUCAUGCCCCUACUUUCUUUUUUUGGUUUUGGUUUUGUGGUGUGGGGUUGAAACCCAGAGCGUCCCACGUUCCAGCCAAGCACUCUCCCCCUGCAGCCUACACCAGCUGUUGCCUAGCCUGCCACACGGCUCUCAAAGAACCUUUUCUCUCUACUUUGCUGAAGUGAGUCCUCUAGCAGCCCCUGAGAAGGGUAUGUAUCUGAGCAUGUGUUUAUCCUGGGUGUCCCCAGCCCCCUACUUUCUGUGUUUCGACUGGCAAACAAUCCCUGACCACUCUGGCACCAGUCUGCUGUAUACUCUCCCUGCAGGACUGAACCCAAGUCACACCUUGAACAUUCAAAGACACUGAUCCGCUUAGGCCAUUGCCUCAGACUCCAAAGAUCAAACAUGUUGCUGAACAUGUGGAACCUGGCCACCUUGAGCCCCAUUCCCUCAACCCCAUUCCCUGGCCCACUGCCAUGGACACAGGGCAUUCCUUUGCUUUCAUGUGUGCCUGAGGACACAUUGAGUGAGGCCCCUAAUCAGUGUUUUGGACCGACCUCAGGACUCUUUAACAGCUUCUGUGUCUGGAACCUCAGUAGGUCCCAUCUUGGGAAGACUUGAGGCAGUCACUUGUAGGAGCUCCCUUACCACUGUUUCUGGGGUGACUCCAGGCACCUUUUUUGGCUGCAUAGGAGAACUGGUGUAAUCAACACAAUUCCAAAAAAAUGUACCUGGAAAAACAACUGCUGAGGGAGAUGCUGUGGUGGCCACAAUGGCCUGUGCAGGCUGUCGCCUGCCUGCUUGGUGCUGGAAGCCACCCAGGGAGUGAAUAGAUGUCCCAGCAGCCAGCCAGGAGGGAGCCAGCUGAGAGAGGAGAGACAGAAGCACAGCCACGGCUCAGCUAGUGGCCCAGAGCUAGAGCAUGAGUCAGGAGGAACUGUGAAGAGAAGCACUCCUGUGCCUCUCCUGUGGUUGCACACAAAAGGGAAGGUAGGACUGGGGAUUUAGCUCAGUGGUUUCGCCGCCUGCUGCACAAGCACAAGGACCCGAAUUAGAUCCCCAGUACCCAAAAAAAAAGGGAAGUGGGAGGUUCCCUGAGACCUGGGGAGCAGAGCCCUGGCACCUGCAGUGAAGAGUAGAGCCAGGGCCUCCAUGCCAAAGGGAGGCUGGCAGGUGGAUGGGUGGGGUAGACACAGGCAAGAGCAGGGUCUCCAGAGUCCCUUCUGGGGCGCCAAUGGGCAAGCAGGCUGGAGGGGCCCAGUGCGGCAGCCCAACUGGACAGGGUAGCCAGGGCCAGCCCUGUUGUAGGACCAGUCAGGGAAUUGGUUCCCCCAGGGAAAGCGAGGAUUCCUUGCUGCCCUCAGAACAACCAGGGUGACUGCAUUGUGGUGCACACCUAUAAUCUCAGCAUUUGGGAGGCUGAGGUAGGGGGAUCAUGAAUGUGAGGCCCACCUAGGCUCCAUAGGAAGGCUGUCUCUCACUGUGGCAGGACCCUUCCCCAGGAGUCUGGCCAGGGCCCCCAAAGGAAUGUGGUAGAGGGGGUGGCUUCUCAGAGCCAAGAAAGACAACAUGGCUCGUAGUUCCUAGACGUGCAUGUGUAGUUCCAGCCCUGCUCUGUGAUACUGAUUGCACCCAAUCAGUCUGGUACAUCAGUGUCUCCGUUUAUGGGAAAGACAGACAUGCCGCCAUGUUCAGUGGGUUAAUACCCACUGAGCCCCAUGCCGGCACAAAUAAAUGCCACUUCCUGGGAAAAGCCUCGGUGUCCUGCCUCUCUGUGAGACCUCCUACCUUUCUUGGGGGCUCUCUCGGAUUUAGAGAGUUGGAGAUGGUGCAUUCCAACUCCUGUGUUGCCAGUGUGAACCUUGGAGCACUGGAGACGCGAACUUGUCUGGCACCAGCGACCAUUUCAUCUAUAGGGAGGUUGGCUCCCCCUGGUGUGUCGGUAAACCUCAGACGCACAGUGGAACUGCUGAGGCUCAGGAACUAGUUUGAGGAGUGCCACCGCGACAGAUUGGCUGGAGUCGUUGUUUGACUGUAUGUGAAUGAUAUGGACAGUGGAAAGGCUCUGACCUGACCAAGGGCCCAAAGGGAGACAAAGAGGACUGCGAGGACCAGGCAACCUCAUGCAAGAACCAAGGGACCCUCUGGAGUCCCUGCCCCAGCCUGCAAUUCCCAGCUACACUGGACCUGCAGCUCUGCCUCAACGUGAGCCAGCACCAGCCUAGGAGGACCCAGUCCCUGACACUGCAGCUGCACCAGGAGAAAAAGACUGACUUUAUCCUUGGUUUGAGAGAAAAUUAAAAUGGAAACAAAGCUUUUGUACAUAGGGGAGGGGAUUGAGGGGGAAAAUGGGGUAAAAUAAAAUAAAAUUUAUUUUAAAAUAAAAAGAGAAGGUGCC